GUGUGAGAAGGAGAAAAGGGGACACAAGAAGAAAAAGAACAGGGACAUGAAAACCUGUCUCAAUUACCAAAGCAGCUGGAAGGUCUCAUCUUAUUUGCCAAACCCGGGACUGAAGGAAAAGGAGGGCUGAUUUCCUCCUUUAGUUGCCUGGGGUAACACGAUUCGAGAAACAAACAGGACGUCGGUGGGGCUGCCGCGUGUUUACAAACACGCCACACUCCCCUGAACGGGGACACGCACCGCCUCCACGGCUUCCAUGGUGGGUGGCAGACGGCUUCGUGGAAGGCGCCUGCUGGCACGUCUCAGACAAAGCCCAGGCCAGCGCCUUGAAAAGCGACCUUGGGCGCAAGGCUUCUCGCCUGAGGCUCGGACAGCUUUCUGUAUUUUAAGAUGAACAGACACGAAAGAGUAGAAUUCGUUCUGCACAGGAAACUUGGCUUCGGCGGCCGGAGCCGGAGCCAGAAGAUUCUGGAAUUUCAUGUUCGUGUCUUUGUUUCCUGGCGGUGCUGCUGAGGCGGUGCUCGGGGCGGGGGCUCAGCCCCUCGGAAGGCGGUGUGGGAAUAAAGGACAGCUUUGUGCAACAGCUGCUCGUCUUGCGACUUGCGGAGCAAUCCCUCCUACAACCUGCAAGGAUCCUCACUGUCCGAUUUGAAAAGCUUUCCUUCCCUCAGCCAAGGGCCAGGGGCAGCAGAACACAGAUGGGUGCCAGCUGCCCUGCCUCCGUGCUGUCUGUCUGCAGUGCAGGCGAUUCAUCCCCAGCAGAAGGCUCUGUACAGUCGUUUAACGCCUUCGGAUGCAGCUUUUCUCUCUGGCGCGUGGACUGUGUUUAUUAACAAACGUUUGUUGAAGACAUAGUAUGUGCCAGGCACUGUCCUACCCACUGAGCACAGCAGUGAGCAGAGCAAAGCAGGUUCGUGUGUGGAAGAGCACCGUUCAGAUGGACAACAUGAGCAGUAAGGAGGUUGGCUUUUCCAGUCAAUCAUGGAUCAUUGGGGUGGAUUUAUUGAUUUUCUUUAGAGAAGGUUUCCAGAGUGAUACGAGAAUUAAAUUGAAGAAUUAGGUUGUAAAAUCAUCUCUUGGUGUUUGAAGUGUGUGUGUGUGUGUGUGUGUGUGUGUGUUGAUUUGGGACUUUAGUGAGACUGAAUAAAGCAGAACCCUGAAGAUGGCA
rnacentral:lncRNA from 1 species